rnacentral:rRNA from 1 species
GUGCCAGCAGCCGCGGUAAGACGUAGGGGGCGAGCGUUGCCCGGAUUUACUGGGCGUAAAGCGGGUGUAGGCGGCCGGGUAAGUCCCGUGUGAAAGCCCACGGCUCAACCGUGGGACGUCGCGGGAAACUGCUCGGCUUGAGGGCAGCAGAGGGUGGUGGAAUUCCCGGUGUAGCGGUGAAAUGCGUAGAGAUCGGGAGGAACGCCAGUGGCGAAGGCGGCCACCUGGGCUGUCCCUGACGCUCAGACCCGAAAGCUGGGGGAGCGAACGGGAUUAGAUACCCCGGUAGUCCCAGCCCUAAACGAUGCUCACUAGGUGUCGGGGGGUCACUCCCUCGGUGCCGAAGCUAACGCGUUAAGUGAGCCGCCUGGGGAGUACGGCCGCAAGGCUAAAACUCAAAGGAAUUGACGGGGACCCGCACAAGCGGUGGAGCAUGUGGUUUAAUUCGAUGCUAAGCGAAGAACCUUACCAGGCCUUGACAUGCCGGAAGUACCGAACCGAAAGGGGAGGGACCCGUAAAGUCGGGAGCCGGCACAGGUGGUGCAUGGCUGUCGUCAGCUCGUGCCGUGAGGUGUUGGGUUAAGUCCCGCAACGAGCGCAACCCUCGCCUCUAGUUGCCAUCGGUUCGGCCGGGCACUCUAGAGGGACUGCCGGCGAUGAGCCGGAGGAAGGUGGGGAUGACGUCAAGUCAUCAUGCCCCUGAUGGCCUGGGCGACACACAUGCUACAAUGGCCGGGACAGUGGGCUGCGAACCCGCGAGGGGGAGCCAAUCCCAAAAACCCGGUCCCAGUUCGGAUCGCAGGCUGCAACUCGCCUGCGUGAAGCCGGAAUCGCUAGUAACCGCCGGUCAGCCACACGGCGGUGAAUACGUUCCCGGGUCUUGUACACACCGCCCGUCACGUCAUGGGAGCCGGUUCCACCCGAAGCCGGUGGCCCAACCCGCAAGGGAGGGAGCCGUCGAAGGUGGGGUCGGUGACUGGGACGAAGUCGUAACAAGGUAACCGU